rnacentral:lncRNA from 12 species
CAUUUUCUCUUGAAGGGGCGCGGGUGAGGUGCAAGUUGCCACGGACCAGGUGUCUGGCUGCAGCCGCCGUGGAAAUAGUGGAUUUUGAGAGCAUUGACUGAAUCAAAACAGUUGGUCCUUGUUCUGCUUGAGGGUCUCUCGUGAAGCAAAUGGACAUUCA